rnacentral:lncRNA from 1 species
UUUGAGUGUGUUACCAAAAUAUACUACUAGAGCUUUUAUGUACUUUGUCUUUAUUUGAAAUUACGAGCUAUGAGUUUUGUUAGACGCACUCUAAUAAUUUGCAUUUUAUCAUGUAAAACAUUAGGAUUGUAUUUGGUCGGAAGUCAAUGUUUUUAUAAAAUCUGUUUGAUUGUGAUUACAUUAACCGGAUCGGAAUGAAGAUUAAAUGGGAUGAUUAAAGAACUUGGUUUAAGGCUUUAAUCAAUUGGUAUGUUUGUAAAUUUG